rnacentral:rRNA from 1 species
AAUUGUUCGCAAUGGGCGCAAGCCUGACGACGCAACGCCGCGUGGAGGAUGAAGGUCUUCGGAUUGUAAACUCCUGUUGAUCGGAAAGAACAGGCUUCAACCUAAUACGUUGGAGCACUGACGGUACCGGUUGAGGAAGCCACGGCUAACUCUGUGCCAGCAGCCGCGGUAAUACGGGGGGGGUAAGCGUUGUUCGGAAUUACUGGGCGUAAAGGGCUCGUAGGCGGCCAACUAAGUCAUACGUGAAAUCCCUCAGCUUAACUGGGGAACUGCGUGUGAUACUGGAUGGCUUGGAUUUGGGAGAGGGAUGCGGAAUUCCAGGUGUAGCGGUGAAAUGCGUAGAUAUCUGGAGGAACACCGGUGGCGAAGGCGGCAUCCUGGACCAAUAUUGACGCUGAGGAGCGAAAGCCAGGGGAGCAAAC